rnacentral:lncRNA from 1 species
CUACCUAGAGGUGUUUGAUGCCAAGGAUCCCCAGCUCCUUGAGGCCCAUAAUUCUGUUGAGGUGAAAAGCUUUGCUGAGGGCCAUGAUUCCAUUGAGAAGGAACAUUCUGAGGUGCACUGUAACUCUGCUGAGGCAAUGGAUUUUGUGGCUGCCCAUAGUUUUGCUGUGAGCACUGUAACACUGCUGAGGCAGUGGAUUUUGUGGCCACCCAUAAUUUUGCUGUGGAGGACUCUGUGGUGCGUUGUAAAUCUGUUGAGGUGGCGGAGGAUACUGUUGCGAACCAUAGUUCUGCUGGGGUGGAGGAUAUCUUGGUUGGCCAUAGUUCUGUUGGGGAGGAGGACCUUGUGCUGCAGCAUAGUUCUGCUGGGGCGGAGGACCUUGUGCUGCACCAUAGUUCUGUUGGGCUGGAGCACCUUGUGGUGGCCCAAAGUUCAGCUGGGCUGGAGCACCUUGCGGUGGCCCUUGUGCUACACCAUAGUUCUGCUGGGGCGGAGGACCUUGUGUUGCACCAUAGUUCUGCUGGGGCGGAGGACCUUGUGUUGCAUCAUAGUUCUGCUGAGCUGGUGCACCUUGCGGUGGCCCAAAGUUCUGCUGAGGUGGACUCUGCGGCGGGCCAUAAUUGCCUUGUUGAAACUGUGGGCCUCUUCGAGGCCUGUUACUAGGCCGUGAUGGUCUUUGAAACUGUGGAGGAGGAGGUCUCUCGAUU